UACGUAGGGACCAAGCGUUGUUCGGAUUUACUGGGCGUAAAGGGCGCGUAGGCGGCGCGGUAAGUCACUUGUGAAAUCUCUGAGCUUAGCUCAGAACGGCCAAGUGAUACUGCAGUGCUAGAGUGUGGAAGGGGCAAUCGGAAUUCUUGGUGUAGCGGUGAAAUGCGUAGAUAUCGAGAGGAACACCUGCGGCGAAGGCGGGUUGCUGGGCUGACACUGACGCUGAUGCGCGAAAGCUAGGGGAGCGAACGGG
rnacentral:rRNA from 1 species